rnacentral:rRNA from 1 species
UACGGGGGGGGCAAGCGUUGUUCGGAAUUACUGGGCGUAAAGGGCUCGUAGGCGGCCAACUAAGUCAGACGUGAAAUCCCCAGGCUCAACCUGGGAACUGCGUCUGAUACUGGAUGGCUUGAAUCCGGGAGAGGGAUGCAGAAUUCCAGGUGUAGCGGUGAAAUGCGUAGAUAUCUGGAGGAAUACCGGUGGCGAAGGCGGCAUCCUGGACCGGCAUUGACGCUGAGGAGCGAAAGCUGGGGGAGCAAACGGG